UCCCUGGCAGUCCAGUGGUUAAGACUCCUCACUGCCAUUGCAGAGGGCGCAGGUUCAAUUCCUGGCCAGGGAA
rnacentral:tRNA from 1 species